rnacentral:rRNA from 1 species
AGUGAACGCUGGCGGUAGGCCUAACACAUGCAAGUCGAACGGCAGCACAGCAAGAGCUUGCUCUUACGGGUGGCGAGUGGCGGACGGGUGAGGAAUACAUCGGAAUCUACUUUUUCGUGGGGGAUAACGUAGGGAAACUUACGCUAAUACCGCAUACGACCUACGGGUGAAAGCAGGGGAUCUUCGGACCUUGCGCGAUUGAAUGAGCCGAUGUCGGAUUAGCUAGUUGGCGGGGUAAAGGCCCACCAAGGCGACGAUCCGUAGCUGGUCUGAGAGGAUGAUCAGCCAAACGGGAACUGAGAAACGGUACAGACCCCUAGGGGAGGAAGAAGGGGGGAAUAGUGGAAAAGGGGCGCAAGCCUGAACCAGCCAUACCGGGUGGGGGAAGAAGGCCUUCGGGUUGUAAAGCCCUUUUGUUGGAAAAAAAAAGCAGAAGGUUAAUACCCCGCUGUUCUGACGGUACCCAAAGAAUAAGCACCGGCUAACUUCG